rnacentral:lncRNA from 10 species
GUCCGCUCUGCUGCCGCCGCUGUUGCAGCCACCGCCGUUGCCGCCUCCCUGCCGGCAAGUGUGUGAAGAAGAAGCUGAGCGUUGUCGCCGCCGCUAUGGGGAGAAAGUCAAGCAAAGCCAAGGAGAAGAAGCAGAAGCGGUUGGAGGAGCGAGCAGCCAUGGAUGCCGUUUGUGCCAAAGUGGACGCUGCCAACAGGGUGAUGCCAAACUUAACUCUCCUGGGCCUUUCCACCAAAGCCUUCCUCGCACAUGUGACUUCAGAGCUAGGCAAAUGGUGGGUUUUGGGAGGCUGCUCCUGGUUCUGAAGUUAGUCUCCCGUUGUGGGUCCCCACAGCAUCCCACUCCAAGACAACAGCUCUUGGGAUAGGAUCUGCACCUCCGCCCCACUUGUCUGUGCUGUUCCUCUUUUCUUUCCCUCCACAGCUUGGAGACCCUCUGGAGGCUUUCCCAGUGUUCAAGAAAUAUGAUAGAAACGGCACACAGAUGAAGAAGGUUAUGUUAACAGUAUUUAAACACAAUCAUGGUGCCUACCAGUUCUUCAGAGAAGCGUUGCAAUUUGAAAUUGAUGACUCUUCCCCCAGCAUGUCCGGUUGCUGUGGGGAGGAUUGCUCCUAUGAGAUCCUGAGCCGGAGGACCAAGUUUGGGGACAGCCAUCACUCCCACGCGGGUGGGCACUGUGGUGGCUGCUGCCACUGAACUCUCAGAGCCACUUUCAAGUCACAAUGCUCUCUCCUAAGGCCUUUCCUCUUUCCUGGUCUCACUGUUCACCGGGUGUCCUCAGAGCUGUGGCCUCCCCAGCCCUGCACGU